rnacentral:rRNA from 1 species
UACAGGGGGUGCAAACGUUGCUCGGAAUCAUUGGGCGUAAAGCGCACGUAGGCGGUUCGUUAUGUCGGAUGUGAAAGCCCUUGGCUUAACCGAGGAAGUGCAUCCGAAACUGGCGAGCUAGAGUACGAAAGAGGAUCGCGGAAUUCCCGGUGUAGAGGUGAAAUUCGUAGAUAUCGGGAGGAACACCGGUGGCGAAGGCGGCGAUCUGGGUCGAUACUGACACUGAGGUGCGAAAGCGUGGGGAGCGAACAGG